UGAUAGUGAUAGAACAUACAA
ensembl:piRNA 21ur-5212 ncRNA